rnacentral:rRNA from 1 species
GGAGUAUGGUCAUGGCUCAGAAUGAACGCUAGCGGCGUGCUUAACACAUGCAAGUCGUACGAGAGCUCUUUAGCCUGCUAAAGAUAGUAAAGUGGCGCACGGGCGAGUAACGCGUGGGUAAUCUACCUCCGAAUUUGGGAUAACUCCGCAGAAAGCGGGGCUAAUACCGGAUAAUAUUUCAGGAUUUUCGGGUCUUGAAAUCAAAAGUGGCCUCUACAUGUAAGCUACUGUUUGGAGAUGAGCCCGCGUACCAUUAGCUUGUUGGUAGGGUAAUGGCCUACCAAGGCUACGAUGGUUAGCUGGUCUGAGAGGAUGAUCAGCCACACUGGAACUGAUACCCGGUCCAGACUCCUACGGGAGGCAGC